ensembl:snoRNA
CCUGUAUGAUGAGGUGCAAAUAGACUGACUCCAAUGAUGGAGGUCUGUAAUUAGCUCUAUCUGAUU